GGAGAAGUAGCUCAGUGGUUAAGAGCACUAGUUCCUCUUCCUAGAGGUAGGUCCUGAGUUCAAUUCCCAGCAACUCUG
rnacentral:tRNA from 1 species